rnacentral:rRNA from 1 species
GACGAAUGCUGGCGGCGUGCCUAAUACAUGCAAGUUGAGCGAUGAAGAUUGGUGCUUGCACCAAUUUGAAGAGCAGCGAACGGGUGAGUAACGCGUGGGGAAUCUGCCUUUGAGCGGGGGACAACAUUUGGAAACGAAUGCUAAUACCGCAUAACAACUUUAAACAUAAGGUUUAAGUUUGAAAGAUGCAAUUGCAUCACUCAAAGAUGAUCCCGCGUUGUAUUAUCUAGUUGGUUGAGUAAAGGCUAGCCAAGGCGAUGAUACAUAGCCGACCUGAGAGGGUGAUCGGCCACAUUGGGACUGAGACACGGCCCAAACUCCUACGGGAGGCAGCAGUAGGGAAUCUUCGGCAAUGGACGAAAGUCUGACCGAGCAACGCCGCGUGAGUGAAGAAGGUUUUCGGAUCGUAAAACUCUGUUGGUAGAGAAGAACGUUAGUGAGAGUGGAAAGCUCAUCAAGUGACGGUAACUACCCAGAAAGGGACGGCUAACUACGUGCCAGCCGCCGCCGUAA